GACCUGGUGGUAGAGGGACCACACCUGCCCUCUUUGUUGGAGGAUGUUUCAGAGCAGGAGUCCCCGGUUCGAUUCCGGGCUGGGUCA